rnacentral:tRNA from 1 species
UAGCAUUGUUGGUAAAGUGCAAAACUCUUAAUUUUGUGGUCUUGGGUUUGAGUCCCAC